UGGGGGACAACAUUCCGAAAGGAAUGCUAAUACCGCAUACGCCCUACGGGGGAAAGCAGGGGAUCUUCGGACCUUGCGCUAAUAGAUGAGCCUAAGUCAGAUUAGCUAGUUGGUGGGGUAAAGGCCUACCAAGGCGACGAUCUGUAGCGGGUCUGAGAGGAUGAUCCGCCACACUGGGACUGAGACACGGCCCAGACUCCUACGGGAGGCAGCAGUGGGGAAUAUUGGACAAUGGGCGAAAGCCUGAUCCAGCCAUGCCGCGUGUGUGAAGAAGGCCUUUUGGUUGUAAAGCACUUUAAGCGAGGAGGAGGCUACCUAGAUUAAUACUCUUGGAUAGUGGACGUUACUCGCAGAAUAAGCACCGGCUAACUCUGUGCCAGCAGCCGCGGUAAUACAGAGGGUGCGAGCGUUAAUCGGAUUUACUGGGCGUAAAGCGUGCGUAGGCGGCUUUUUAAGUCGGAUGUGAAAUCCCUGAGCUUAACUUAGGAAUUGCAUUCGAUACUGGGAAGCUAGAGUAUGGGAGAGGAUGGUAGAAUUCCAGGUGUAGCGGUGAAAUGCGUAGAGAUCUGGAGGAAUACCGAUGGCGAAGGCAGCCAUCUGGCCUAAUACUGACGCUGAGGUACGAAAGCAUGGGGAGCAAACAGGAUUAGAUACCCUGGUAGUCCAUGCCGUAAACGAUGUCUACUAGCCGUUGGGGCCU
rnacentral:rRNA from 1 species